UGAAGAGCACUUAGGGCUGGAGAGCAAGACACAUGCUGACGAGCAGAAGCUGACAGGCUUGCUGCCAUGUGGGAAAGUCCUUGGACGAGUUGUCUGCUUGCGGAGAGGUGUCUGCGGCUCAGGAGCUCUCAGUGUGGAGAGAGGGACAGAAUCAUGAUCAGCACCUAAGACAAGACCCAAGCUGGACACAGAGGAUCCAGUGAAGGAUGCUGGGAUGGAGACACAACAUGGAAGAAGCCUGGGCCCCUGAACCACCAUAUGGAAGACCAUCCUAUGUCAGCAUGAAUGGGAAACACAUUUUCCCUGUGUUAAGCCACUUUAGUUUUGAGAUUGUUAUUGGAGCAGUGAGGACUACAGCAGCUGCUGUUGAGAGAUGAUAGGAGCCUAAAUCAGUGGGUGGAACAGAUUCAAGCAAUUUUAGGGCAAUACCG
rnacentral:lncRNA from 10 species